rnacentral:rRNA from 1 species
UUCCGGUUGAUCCUGCCGGAGGUUACUGCUAUCGAGGUUCGACUAAGCCAUGCGAGUCGAAUGCCGCAAGGCAUGGCGUACUGCUCAGUAACACGUGGACAACCUACCCUUAGGACUGGGAUAACCCCGGGAAACUGGGAAUAAUCCCCGAUAGUCCUCGAAGGCUGGAACGCAUCGGGGGCGAAAGCUCCGGCGCCUAAGGAUGGGUCUGCGGCCUAUCAGGUAGUAGUGGGUGUAGCGUACCUACUAGCCUACGACGGGUAUGGGUUGUGAGAGCAAGAGCCCGGAGAUGGAUUCUGAGACACGAAUCCAGGCCCUACGGGGUGCAGCAGGCGCGAAAACUUUACAAUGCUGGCAACAGCGAUAAGGGAACCUCGAGUGCCAGGUUACAAAUCUGGCUGUCGAGAUGCCUAAAAAGCAUUUCAUAGCAAGGGCCGGGCAAGACCGGUGCCAGCCGCCGCGGUAACACCGGCGGCUCGAGUGGUAACCGUUAUUAUUGGGUCUAAAGGGUCUGUAGCCGGCCGGAUAAGUCUCUUGUGAAAUCUGGCAGCUCAACUGUCAGGCUACCAGGAGAUACUGUCUGGCUCGAGGCCGGG